UACAGAGGGUGCAAGCGUUGUUCGGAAUUACUGGCGUAAGCGCGUGUAGGCGGUCUUUCAAGUCCUGUGUGAAAGCCCUGGGCUCAACCCAGGAAGUGCGCAGGAUACUGAUUGACUGGAGUGGCGGAGAGGAUGGCGGAAUUCCCGGUGUAGAGGUGAAAUUCGUAGAUAUCGGGAGGAACACCUGUGGCGAAGGCGGCCAUCUGGACGUUCACUGACGCUGAGACGCGAAAGCGUGGGUAGCAAACAGG
rnacentral:rRNA from 1 species